UACGUAGGUGACAAGCGUUGUCCGGAUUUACUGGGCGUAAAGAGCGCGCAGGCGGUCGUUCAAGUCGAGUGUGAAAGCCCCCGGCUCAACUGGGGAGGGUCACUCGAUACUGAUCGACUUGAAGGCAGGAGAGGGAAGCGGAAUUCCCGGUGUAGUGGUGAAAUGCGUAGAUAUCUGGAGGAAUACCGGUGGCGAAGGCGGCAUCCUGGACCGGCAUUGACGCUGAGGAGCGAAAGCUAGGGGAGCAAACGGG
rnacentral:rRNA from 1 species